AUCCUACGGGGGGCAGCAGUGGGGAAUAUUGGGCAAUGGGCGCAAGCCUGACCCAGCAACGCCGCGUGAAGGAAGAAGGCUUUCGGGUUGUAAACUUCUUUUAUUGAGGACGAAACAAAUGACGGUACUCAAUGAAUAAGCCACGGCUAACUACGUGCCAGCAGCCGCGGUAAUACGUAGGGGGCAAGCGUUAUCCGGAUUUACUGGGUGUAAAGGGAGCGUAGACGGUGAUGCAAGUCUGGAGUGAAAGGCGGGGGCCCAACCCCCGGACUGCUCUGGAAACUGUAUGACUUGAGUGCAGGGGA
rnacentral:rRNA from 1 species